CCUACGGGAGGCUGCAGUGAGGAAUAUUGGUCAAUGGACGAGAGUCUGAACCAGCCAAGUAGCGUGAAGGAUGACUGCCCUAUGGGUUGUAAACUUCUUUUAUAUGGGAAUAAAAUGUUCCACGUGUGGGAUUUUGUAUGUACCAUAUGAAUAAGGAUCGGCUAACUCCGCGCCAGCAGCCGCGGUAAUACGGAGGUUCCGAGCGUUAUCCGGAUUUAUUGGGUUUAAAGGGAGCGUAGGUGGAUUGUUAAGUCAGUUGUGAAAGUUUGCGGCUCAACCAUAAAACUGCAGUUGAAACUGGGAGUCUUGAGUACAGUAGAGGUGGGCGGAAUUCGUGGUGUAGCGGUGAAAUGCGUAGAUAUCACGAAGAACUCCGAUUGCGAAGGCAGCUCACUGGACUGCAACUGACACUGAGGCUCGAAAGUGUGGGUAUCAAACAGGAUUAGAUACCCCGGUAGUC
rnacentral:rRNA from 1 species